UACGUAGGGGGCAAGCGUUGUCCGGAUUUAUUGGGCGUAAAGAGCGUGUAGGCGGUUUGGUAGGUCCGUUGUGAAAACUCGAGGCUCAACCUCGAGACGCCGAUGGAAACCAUCAGACUAGAGUCCGGAAGAGGAGAGUGGAAUUCCUGGUGUAGCGGUGAAAUGCGCAGAUAUCAGGAGGAACACCUGUGGCGAAAGCGGCUCACUGGACAAUAACUGACGCUGAUGCACGAAAGCUAGGGGAGCAAACAGG
rnacentral:rRNA from 1 species